UCCCCAUUGUGCGCCUAGACCAGUGCUGUCCCCCAGGGGACACACAACUGAGUAUCCAGGGUUCCUUUGAAAGGAACAAAAGUCAGGGACCAGUAGCCUAAGGAGUUAUGGAGAAUAGAGUGGCAGUGAUAAUGCACCAAUUGGCUUCAGAGGCCACCCCACACUCCAGCAGUAACCUGGGUCCUGCACCACCCCUGCCGGGCAGCCCCUGGUUCUCGGUGGGGUUAAGGGGACAGGAAAUGUGGCUGGUGACUGUUGGGCUUCACAGGAAGGAGGACCCUGUGGGCAACGGGCUCAGGACCAAGACCACAUGUUGGCCAAGGAACAGGGACAGCCACACACCCAGAACAUCUUCCCCACGUGCUCAGUGAUCCAUCACCUGCUGGGAAGCGGAGCCCAAGGGCCCAUGACAGAGGAGGCCAUUCCUCCAACCUUGCUCCACCAGUGACUUGCUGCGUAAAUUUGGUCAAGUGGCUCUUUGUGAAUCAGGUUCUAGAAUUUUAUAGGCUCUUGGAAAUACUUUUUUAAUCCUAUCACAAUAUAUUUUCACUGAGGAGAACACAAACAGGCAAAAAUAAAAAUAAAUUGAAAUUACAAUCAAGUGA